rnacentral:sRNA from 1 species
GUACCUGAUGUGCGAAGAACAUCUGAUUCCGGGAUCUUUGAUGGUCAGUUCCAGUCCGGAAUCGGGAGCGAGUUGAGCUCUGUUGUCAACGAUUCGGCGAGAGGACAAAACAAGGUUCCUAGCUUGGAACUUAGGGAUUAUCUAUCAUCGUUGUAUCAAGUUGAGGACAUAGAGCAGGGUAACCCACAAGAACUACUCGUAUGUUGUCCCAAGCAGCAGACAGCCCUGGACGUAGAUUGGGCAGCAAGGCCCGAAGUCCGCGUUCCAACUUCUCGAGGCAUUGAUGAUUUGAAUCCUGUCAUUGACA